GACGAACGCUGGCGGCGUGCUUAACACAUGCAAGUCGAACGGAGUGGCGAACGGGUGAGUAACACGUGGGUGAUCUGCCUUGCUCUUCGGGAUAAGCUUGGGAAACUGGGUCUAAUACCGGAUAGUGCAAGAUGAGCUCGCGGCCUAUCAGCUUGUUUGUGGGGUACUGGCCUACCAAGGCGUCGACGGGUAGCCGGCCUGAGAGGGUGUACGGCCACAUUGUGACUGAGAUGCGGCCCAGAGGUAUACGGGAGGCAGUAGGGGGGAAUAUGGCACAAUGGGCGGAAGCCUGAUGCAGCGACGCCGGGGGGGGGAUGAAGGCUUGCGGGUUGUAAACUCCUUUCGACAGGGACGCGGUACCUGUAUAAGAAGCACCGGCUAACUACGUGCCAGCAGCCGCGGUAAUAC
rnacentral:rRNA from 1 species